rnacentral:rRNA from 1 species
CCACGGGUGAGUAACACGUAUCCAACCUGCCGUCUACUCUUGGACAGCCUUCUGAAAGGAAGAUUAAUACAAGAUGGCAUCAUGAGUCCGCAUGUUCACAUGAUUAAAGGUAUUCCGGUAGACGAUGAGGAUGCGUUCCAUUAGAUAGUAGGCGGGGUAACGGCCCACCUAGUCUUCGAUGGAUAGGGGUUCUGAGAGGAAGGUCCCCCACAUUGGAACUGAGACACGGUCCAA